rnacentral:rRNA from 1 species
AUUGAACGCUGGCGGCAGGCCUAACACAUGCAAGUCGAGCGAGCGGCGGACGGGUGAGUAAUGUCUGGGGAACUGCCCGAUGGAGGGGGAUAACUACUGGAAACGGUAGCUAAUACCGCAUACCAUCGGAUGUGCCCAUAUGGGAUUAGCUAGUAGGUGGGGUAAUGGAUCACCUAGGCGACGAUCACUAGCUGGUCUGAGAGGAUGACCAGCCAAACUGGAACUGAGACACGGCCCAGACUCCUACGGGAGGCAGCAGUGGGGAAUAUUGCACAAUGGGCGCAAGCCUGAUGCAGCCAUGCCGCGUGUGUGAAGAAGGCCUUAGGGUUGUAAAGCACUUUCAGCGAGGAGGCGUUACUCGCAGAAGAAGCACCGGCUAACUCCGUGCCAGCAGCCGCGGUAAUUC